UUCAACCGUAGCUCCAAAUCAGGUGAUUCCAAAGCCCACGUCUUUGUCUCGUCGAGACCGUUCCAUUCCCAUCAUUUUCACUAUGGUUUGACAUAUUGAAAAUGACCACUUUGCCCUUGCCCGUAAUCAGCCCCCUCCGAGAGAGAACUAUUUCCGGCAACUGUUUCCGCGAUCGUUUCACACUUUUCCCAGAGUAUUUCUCGACCCCAGGCAAGCCAACCUCUUAUCUUGAGCCCCGAACUUGCAUGUUGACUUUGCUUGCACCUCGUGUGUGUGUGUGUGUUUAGUUGCAGUAGUUUCUUGUCUGUUCCGUCUGCUGUUAUUUUAGUCGUGAUAUAUAUUUUGUUAUCUGUCUUGCAUGCUUAUGUUUUUAUAAAAUAAGUUGCCAUGUUAGUUUGAUGUUGUUACUAAUAAUAUCAUGCCUCUAUCUAGUUUAGUUUCAUGUUAUUAGUAUCGAUGUUAUGAUAAUUCUGUUGCACCGUUAAGUUUGCUAGUACUUGGUAUUGCCAUGUUUCGCAUGCUAUUAUUGUUCUACUGAAAUGCUUCAUGUUUUGUUACUACAUCGGUAUGUUGCAUGUUAGUUGUUUCAUUCAUGUUAAUAAUGCUCGCAUGAUGAUUGAUGAUGGAGAAGUUAAUAAUAUGACUUAAUAACAAACCUCCUUCGUCAUCACUGGUAUAUCAUAGUGCCACCAAAGUCGAGCUUUCUCCAGUGCAACCACAUUUACCUUAUGGGAAGGUCUUGAUUCGGUCCUUUGUCGUGGCUCUCACCAGUGCCUCCCGCGAGGGAAGGUUAUGGACACGCUCUAUCCUGAUCAGGCAGGCGGACAUAACCUUGUGUGCUCAUUUUUGUUUUUAUGGUACCUUGUCCCCGUUUGGGACCAUUUUGCCACGACGGUGGCCGUUGGUGUCUUUGGUAGACACGGGGCCACCCAAGACCUAGCCCUGAGGGGGAGUUGGUCGGAGUGGCCGGGGAGAGUGCAUGACAAAGGGAGGGUUUCGUCGGAAUACUUUGGUCCACCCGAAUGGGAGUACGAGGCCAGGUAUUCCAUAGUGUGGGUAAAGUGCGCUACCUCUGCAGAGUGUAUUCAAUCUAUCGAUAGCCUUUUCCUCGGUCAUGGGCACAAGUUCGUAGUAGGUCACACUAUCGGGUCUCGGUCGAAAUGGAGGAUAAAUCUGCUAAUAACUUGUGUGAUAACUAAGUUGAUGAUUAAGAUGUAAUAAAAUAAUAUAGUGACUUGGACUACGGGAAAGUCGUGAGAAGUCACGAUGAUGCGUUGAUAUGACUCUGAGACGAGGUCUCGGUAAGUCAUGCUUGUGCUCCGAGGAGCCAUGGCAGAGUAAGUGAUUGUGCAUAAGGUUGAUACAACAUGUCUUCACGGGAGGUAACUGGUAGUUUCUUUUCAGCGUAGUUUCCUGAUGCCAUGCCAUGUUUUGACAUGCUAUGCUUUGCUGUUGUUAUGUUAGAAGUAAAUUUGAUAUGCCAUGCUAGUAGAUGUUAUGAUGUUGUUCAUGCUUAGUUUGAUUUAUGAUUAUGAUUAAUAUCAUUCCAUGCUUAGAAGUUGUGUUGAAGUAGACUGUUGCAUAUGCCUGGUUCUUGCUUUGGCAUCUAUUUGUUUGGGUGCUAUGUAUUUGGUUGUCUUGCAUGUACAUUCAAUGUACUGACCUGGCGUGUCAUGCCAGUUUUGUAGGUCGUGCCCGAACUGUUCGCUUGUUCCGUCGUGCUAGGCCGUAAUCUUGCCAGUCCUGUGAGUUAUGGAGUCCAGCCAGAGAGAGACGCUGCCAAACCAAAGACUUCCGCCGCCAUUUAAAUAGACUUCUGCUUCCAUCCGUAUAGCCUUAGGGCUAUGCAAUAAUUGUAUUCAUCAAUGAUGUAAUCAUAUACACAUGUAGUUGAUGAAUAUUAUUGUACCUAGAAUGCUGUAUCAUGGACCUUUCGUGCGUCAGGCGUAAUCCUGGGCUGACGUGCAAAGGCCCCCUUCUCCAUGCGGAUCGGGAUGCCACAGGAGAUGGUAUUAGAGUAGCCAAGCUAGCAUAGAUUAUCCUAGCAUUAGAUUACUGCUACCAUCAACCCAUAAUGACCCUAAGGGAUUUGACCCAUCCCUGGCAUCCGACAUGGCCCCUGUUAAUCAACAGGUGGCGCAGUCGGGACCGACAUGUCCUCACCCCGCUGUCCCCGCCUAGUUAUCCAUGGAAUGUGUAGUAACCCUAUCCUUUCUGGUCGGCCACACCCUUCGCCAUUUAGGGAAAGGGGCCACACCAUGCAAGCAUGUCCCGCGUAGCUGCCUAUAAAACCCCCUUUCCUCUAGCCGUAUCGCUCACUCCUCAGUCCGACAUGUCCCUGCAGAAAAGCUUAACUAGUAGCUCCCCAGCCAUGGCUCGCACCUUCAGAGAUCCCAAGUUUUACACCCGCACCUAUGCCGUCAACCACACUGGCUUUCGACCCCUUCUUGCCGAGAUGCUCACCAAAGCCUUUGGCUAUAAGGCUAGCCCGAUUACCUGGUGUUCCAAUCAUCACCCGUCCCUCACCUUCAUCGCUUUGAUGCAAGAGUGCACAUCAGCCUAGGUCCCGCACUAGAAGGCCAGCCUUUGGUUUUAUAGGGUAUAGCCAUGCCUACCUCUGAUUCAGCAAUUCAAGCCGCUGCCGUGGAGGCUAUCCUACACCUCCGAACCAAGUUCCCGCAUGUAGCAAUAAGGUGGGAGUUCUGCUUUUUCCCCAUUGUGGCAAAAGCAGGAAUGCAGCCUUCUUCCGCUAUCCAAGGAGAUGACCCUGCAAUCAUUUUCCUGGUGCAAUACAUCACUGCCCAGGGGAUGAUGAUUUCAAAGAUGCUUGCCGAGUUUAGAACCAUGGACAACGAUGUGGUACGAGUCGUCAAGGAAGCUUACCGUGAGGCUCGUAAAUUCGCAUCUCAAGCCGUUUGUCCAAUGCCAUCUGAACCAGUGCUAUCCUCUCAGCCUGUGCUGUGGCCCAAGCCAAACAUCAUCACCCUCGACAAGGCUCUUUUACGGAUCCACCAGCAGCAUUUGCUUGGAACAAUUUCAGCCACACCUCCAGUAGUCGAACCCCAAUCCAUAGUGCUGUCAGAUGAUGAAGAUGGAGAUUGGCUCAGUCUUCAUCCUCUUGGAGAGCCCUAGCAAGGCCAGUCUUCUGCAUGACCUCAGUCACAUAGUUAGUGGUUUCUGCAAGUAGGUCGGUCUGUUGGUUCAUCCUCGAUAUGAGGAUAGAACCAUGUAUCCCGCAGCGUGUAGUUUCGAUUAGCACGUAGCGCGUUUGUGCUUUGAUGUAUGCUGGUACUGUUGUAACCCGUAUGCUGUGUUAUUUUCUUGCUUGCUUGCUUGUGUUUGUGUGUUUGUUUUUGCUUGUCUCUCUGUCAAACAGAAAUGUUUGAUAGGGUUGGCAAUGUUUGUUAACAAGAUUUUAAUCAGUACGGCACAUACACUAAAAACAACAUUGACUCGUCCUGAGUCUUUAAUAAAAUGCGCACUGGUGUAGGUAUAUGUAUGCCAGGAGUACAUAUACCCACUAGCAUUAAAACACCUUAGUAUGAUUUGUCUGCUGUGAUUUUCAUUGCAGGUUUGUUGCAUCAGUCUGUUUGUUAGUUUGUUUGUACUGCAUACUGCACGCAUACCCGGUUCACCCACGAGUACAUUUAGGGCAGUACUCGGGGAAAAGCAAAGUCGCACAUCCCUCGCUAUCUAUGCACACCCCGUGUGCCAGAUUUUUCCUAACCCAGAGCCUCGAAGAGGCAUUUCCAUCUGGCCAUUUCUCGUCCCUAGUUCUUUUUCGUUAGCUCCAAUUUCAUUUCGGGAGAAAUGUUGCCAGUUUAUUUCACUUGAUCUAGUACAACUCCCUGAUACAGAUUUCAACUCCGAUUCUACCUCGACACCUACAUUUCGUGGAGCUAUCCGCAAAAUUUUGCCCGUGCCCUAGUUUGAUUCCUGAGCUGGCGUAGCCACCUCACCCGCAUCUGAAUCCCUUCACCACCACCGUCAUUGCCUAGCGUGGCGCAGCCGAGUCGCCAUCACAGCUCCACUGCAGCAUGCGAUUACUCCACCGGCGCAAAGCGACGGAGAAUCAAGCAUGGCAGAGGACCACCCCAUGCACCGUCUUCUUCCACACCUCAAGCCACCACACCCAGCCGCGCGUUGCCUCGAGCCCGCUCGUUCCUGAUGAUUAUCACCAGAAGCAACGACGAGCCAACCAGCGUGCCCAGUAGAGCAGCUAGAAACAACCGUAGCGCCACCAAGAACACCUCCUUGCCGAAGGAGCUCGGCUCGAUCUCGCCCAAACCGAAGAGGUAGUAGAGCGGCAUUGUGUUGGUGUGUUGGAGGAAUGCCGCGCUGCUUUUUUUAUAGCCCAACCCCGGUGUACGGUGAGCGAGGUCCAGGAGAACCGCUCGUCGCCCGAUCACCAGCGUCCAGGAGGCGAAUCCGCGAGCAGUGCCGACAAGGUGCUGGCCCGCGAUGUGAGUGCUCGCUGCACCAGCGCCAUGCACGCCGCGCACUACGACACUAGGGUCCUCAUCGCCCUAGGAGCUAGAUUGGCGCUGCACCAAGACGCACGCGAAACAACAGCACAGGAGAAGCAGCUACCCGGAGGUAGAAGAAGGAGGCAGCUAGUGGGCCCUGGACCCACAUUUCAGCAGGUAAAUCCACUGUUCACUAGGGUGCAUCUAGCAAUUUUCGAGAGUUUGAUCUCGAGUGCCCCUAUUCGUGGAUAUAAUCGUGUUUGCCCAUAUCUCUCCCUAGGUGUACCAAUUAUCGGUGCCCCAACUCGUUUGAAUCUGACCAAAGGGUUAAAAGUUAACCCAGAGGUUUUUCCCGGAGUGUCUAUCUUUCCUUUGGUGCUGUAACCCUAGGAAUCUCGAGGACGAGAUUCUUUUUAAGGGGGGAAGGUUUGUAACAACCCCAAAAUUGGGUUAUCACUUUUUGAGCCGUUAUUCCUUCCUGGCACUUAUUUUCAAAAUAUUUCUCCUGUGUUUGUUGGAUGACUUUGAGAAUUCUCGUCAUUUCCAACCUUUCAAAACCUUGCUCAUGUCUUUUUCAGUGGACAAGACCUCAUUUGCAUCAGCUCCAACCCUCUGAAACCCUAAUUCCAAAAUUUUGGAAUUUGAUCAUGGCCUUUGUGAUUACAAAAGAGCUAUCAUUUCCUUGAUCUGUUGAUCAUCCCAUCUGUUUCCAGAGAUCCUCCUAUCCUUCUCAACCUUGGAUAUGCAAAAAUAUUGCCAAGUCCCAUGCAAUAUUUUUGAAUUAUGAUUUAUUCCUUUUCUUGCCUUUCUGAGGAAUAAAAUCCAAAGGCAUAGCUAGCCAUCUCCUAAAUUCAUGUGAAUUGGUGGAGUUGAUAUUUAUGCCUAAUCCAAGCUCUGGCAAAGAUAUUGGCCAUAAUUUAAUAAGGAAAAUUGCCUUUUCCUAUUUAAUACCAAUAUUAAUUUCAGCCAUUUUCUAAAGGAACUAUUAUUUUUAUAGCAGAGAAAAUUCUCACAUAAAUUGUGGAGCUUGUCCUUGCUAUAUAAUCACUAGUUCCAUCAUCAUCUCAUGUUCCAUAGAUCAAAAAUUGGGUACAUGAUCCAAUGCAAGUUUCUGCCUUCUCUGAAAUUUUGCAAAGGAAGUGCUUUAUUCCUAAUUCCUUUUGAGCUGCAAUUUGGCAGGGUGAUUAAACUUGAUAAAUCACCCACGGAUACCAAAGAUGAGCUCAAUCCAUUCAUCCUAGCUCCCUAUGCAAGUUUUCAAAGUUUCUGACUAUAUUGUAACUUUGUGAAGGAAGUACCUUCAUGGUGUUUCCAAAUGGGAUGAAACUUUGCCAUCCUCUCAAUUAUCCCAAAUCAUUAGCCUCCACCCAAAUUCAGCUCAUUUCAUUGAGAUAUAUGAGCACAGGAGCAAUUCUUGUGUUCGGUCCAAAUAUUUAGUUUGUGAAGCAAGUAUAUUUUGUCUUGCCCCAUUAUGGCUGAAAUUAUUCCCAAGCCUUCUCUUAUCCAUAUAACCCAUCUACCCAAGAGAUUGGCUCAUUCAAUGUAUCCAAUAUGUUCCUAGAAUUCUCUCAAGUUUCUGGUCAAAAGUGAUGCUUGUGAAGCAAGUACCAAUUGGGCAUGUCCAUUUGGUAUGAUCUUUUUUGCAGCAUCUACAUAUGACCAAUUCAUGAGGAAUUGCUAAGUGGUAGCCCAAUCCAACACUCCUAGUGAGUGUUUCUUGCUCAUUUGUUUUCUGGGCCAUAUUUGACAGUUGCAAUGCAACUAUGUUAAAUACUUGCCCAAAUCCCUUCCAACUUUCCAGGACCGUAGUCCUUGCUACCCUAAACCUCCUAGACAUCAAGUUUUGUCCCUAAGCUCUCUGUGUUGAUCACCAAGAUGUUGCCAAGUUUGCAACAACAAACUUGUCGAGCCUGUUUCCCUCUGCUCCCUACACUUCUACCCGUGCCAUCACCUCAGAUGUAAUGAGCCUUGGAAGGACUCCACUGCUGAGAAGGUUUGGCCCAAUGUAGGUAGCCAGAGCAUGCAGUGCCCGUGGUGAUCACGAGUGGUGCCAGCCAAAUCGGUGGUCUAGUUGCUGUUGGACAUAGUAGGGCAACUCCGGCUGGCUCUGGCUCGUCCAAGCUUGUCAACCAGCUCAGCCUCAUCGUCGCUGCGCGCCUUGACCCGUUUCCCCCUUCGUUUGCUUCCUCGUUGAGCCGCCGCCGUCGCUGAACACAGUGAGCUCCCGUGUUUGCCGUCGUUUCCUCACUUCUAUUUUCUUCUUCCUCUCGUGUGCGAGCGUUGCUCGAUUCCGUCACCUCCUGGCACUCGUCCGCGUCCUCCUCGUCGCCUUCCUGCUGCUCCCCGUGACCCUUGGCCGCGUGUGCGCGUUGCUGGCGCGUGGACACGUAACCGAGCCGUGUGUCGCCUCGCUCCUCCCUCGAGAUCCCCCCUCGUCUAUUUAAGCCCGUCCCGAGCUCACUCGCAGUCCUCAAGCCUCCCCGAGCAACCCACUCGUCCCCGAAGUCUCUCUCCGAUCCCCACCAUCGCCAUGGCCGCCGCCUCGGGCUCUGCUCGAGUCUGGCGAUGCCGCGCCUCCCCUCGCCGUUCCUCCACCACCAAUGCAACCCCCAGAGUCAGUAGAGCCUCCCCGUGGCCUCGACCCUUCCUAUCGCCCACCGGAGCACCUGGUUCGCCGUCGCCCGAAGCCUCCCUCCGCCGCGAGCCCUGCUGCUCCUAUCCCCGUCCUCCUCGCCGGCAACACAGACCACCCCGAGAUGCACCGUUUCCUCCUGAGCUCGUGCUUAGGUCGGCCAUUGUUUGUGAUGGACGGAGCGGCCGACAAUCGCCGUUGGGGCGGAUGCCUCCUUCUGCCAGGCGCGUGCCCGAGCGGGAGGUGGAAGACGCAGGCCAGGCGGACCCCUCCCCGCGCAACCCCACCUGGCAGCGACCCAGGCGCCCGGCCCCGCUGCCCCGUGUUGACCCCGCCACGCCACGUCGGAUAAGUGGCGGCGCCCGUCGCGAAGCCGUUCUCCUGCGUUGAAAGCAUAUUCUCAGAAAGACGCUUUCUGUUUAAACCAACAGGGACCUAUUUGUAGAAAUAUUUUUACAAACUAGUCCCUGAGCUUUAAACGACCGUAUCUUUUCAACCAUAGCUCCAAAUCAGGUGAUUCCAAAGCCCAUGUCUUUGUCUCGUCGAGCCCGUUCUGUUCCCAUCAUUUUCACUAUGGUUUGACAUAUUGAAAAUGACCACUUUGCCCUUGCCCGUAAACAGCCCCCCUUCGAGAGAGAACUAUUUCCGGCAACUGUUUCCGCGAUCGUUUCACACUUUUCCCAGAGUAUUUCUCGACCCCAGGCAAGCUAACCUCUUAUCAUGAGCCCCGAACUUGCAUGUUGACUUUGCUUGCACCUCGUGUGUGUGUUUAGUUGCAGUAGUUUCU
rnacentral:lncRNA from 1 species